GAUUAACGCUGGCGGCGUGCCUAACACAUGCAAGUCGAACGAUGAAACUUUACUGACUUCUUCGGAAUGAUUUAAAGCGGAUUAGUGGCGAACGGGUGAGUAACGCGUGAGUAACCUGCCUUACACAAGGGGAUAGCCUCUGGAAACGGAGAAUAAUACCCUAUGAAACCAGACAAUCGCAUGAUAAUCUGGUCAAAAUGUUUAGUGGUGUAAGAUGGACUUGCGUCUGAUUAGCUAGUUGGUGAGAUAAAAGCUCACCAAGGCAACGAUCAGUAGCCGGCUUGAGAGAGUGUACGGCCACAUUGGGACUGAGACACGGCCCAGACUCCUACGGGAGGCAGCAGUGGGGAAUUUUGCACAAUGGGGGAAACCCUGAUGCAGCGACGCCGCGUGAUUUAGAAGGCCUUCGGGUUGUAAAAAUCUUUUGUAUAGGAAGAAAAUGACAGUACUAUACGAAUAAGGUCCGGCUAAUUACGUG
rnacentral:rRNA from 1 species